GCAUUUUCUCACUUGAGGUUCCCUCUUCCCAGAUGACCCUGGUGUCAAGUUGAUGAAAACCUAGCCAGCACAGGGGAGCCGAGAGGCUCCAGUGGGUGGCCCUAGACCCUUUCUCAAACCAAAGGUGUCUUCCUUGGAGAGCUGUUCACCUGAGAUCAGCUGAGGUAUCUCCUCUGAAACAUACGUGCCGUUGUCUGACUGGGCUGAGUGAGCAGCCCUGUCCGUGAACACGUGCACUGGUGUCCUUCUUUCUGCAGUCAUUCUAAGGAGCAGUGACGAGUGGAGGUGCACGGCUUCUAUUCUUGCUCAAGCCUCUUUGCCUUCACGUCCACCUAACCCUCUUUUCUGAGUCUCACUCCCUGAGUGUUCACUGCAUGCCGACUUGCACGUCCCCAGCUCUGAGAAGGAACCUGCAGGCUGCAGUCUCAGAAGGCUGAUGAACUUUUGGAUCCGUGGCCAAAGAGAACAAAGGGCCUUCCUUUGCUGUGUGUGGGAGGACCCAUGGUGGAAAGAUGGCUCCCUCUCUGUGUGUGUCCUGAAGGGUUCUGAACUAUAAACCAGCCUUUUCAGGUUAUUAUGGUCGUUCCCUCCCAAAGCAAGAGGCUCAACCACAGAUUGCUCUGUAGUUGGUAAGUGUAAUAAGAACAUCUGUGACAAAGACUCUAUUCUCCUCUGUGACAAUGUAAGCAUGGCCUAAAAGGACCAGAGCUGUACUUGAUGGAAUGAAUAAGGAGAAUGAGCUGGGGAGAACACAGGAGGACUUCUUUGCCCAUUCCCAAAAUGAUGGCUUCAUGGAAAACUUACUGAAGAGGC